rnacentral:tRNA from 1 species
GGACGCUUAGCUCAGCUGGAUAGAGCGUCGGCCUCCGGAGCCGAAGGUCAUAGGUUCGAAUCCUAUAGCGUCCGCCA